rnacentral:rRNA from 1 species
GUUGAACGCUGGCGGCGUGCCUAAUACAUGCAAGUCGAGCGGACGGACGAGGAUCUUUCUUCGCUGCUGCUGGCGACGGACGGGUGAGUAACACGUGUAUACCUUGCCUUUGGGGAUGAGAUACCUUCGGGGGCGCUGAUCUCGCAUCCGUUCAUAUGGUGAACGGCAGGGUUCAUAGGAGCACGCCGUUCUUGCUGUGCCUAAUACAGGGUUCCGCGUUGGAUUAGCUAGUUGGUAAGGUAACGGCUUACCAAGGCAACGAUGCGUAGCCGACCUGAGAGGGUGAUCGGCCACACUGGAACUGAGACACGGUCCAGACUCCUACGGGAGGCAGCAGUAGGGAAUCUUCCGCAAUGGGCGAAAGCCUGACGGAGCAACGCCGCGUGUGUGAUGAAGGUCUUCGGAUCGUAAAGCUCUGUUAGUAGGGAGGAACAUAUGUGUAUGUAACUGUGCACGUCUUGACGGUACCUAAUCAGAAAGCCCCGGCUAACUACGUG